rnacentral:rRNA from 1 species
UACGAAGGGGGCUAGCGUUGCUCGGAAUCACUGGGCGUAAAGCGCACGUAGGCGGAUUGUUAAGUCGGGGGUGAAAUCCUGGAGCUCAACUCCAGAACUGCCUUCGAUACUGGCGAUCUUGAGUCCGGGAGAGGUGAGUGGAACUCCGAGUGUAGAGGUGAAAUUCGUAGAUAUUCGGAGGAACACCAGUGGCGAAGGCGGCUCACUGGUCCAUUACUGACGCUGAGGUGCGAAAGCGUGGGGAGCAAACAGG